UACAGAGGUCCCAAGCGUUGUUCGGAUUCACUGGGCGUAAAGGGUGCGUAGGCGGUCGGGUAAGUCAUACGUGAAAUCCCUCAGCUUAACUGGGGAACUGCGUGUGAUACUGGAUGGCUUGGAUUUGGGAGAGGGAUGCGGAAUUCCAGGUGUAGCGGUGAAAUGCGUAGAUAUCUGGAGGAACACCGGUGGCGAAGGCGGCAUCCUGGACCGACACUGACGCUGAUGCGCGAAAGCCAGGGGAGCAAACGGG
rnacentral:rRNA from 1 species